CGAAGGCAGCGUUGACCUCAACAGCCAUUCCCACAUUGCAUACUCCACCACCCUUCGUUCUCCUCCGACGCGCUCAGCGCCAGGGCUUGCAGCUUUGGAUCUCAAGCCCAUCGGCCGGUGACGCAGUCAUGCACAAGGAUGGGAUCUCCAAGCUCGUCCUCCUCCACCUCUUCGGGGUCACGGUCGCAGGCGCGGCGGCGGCGGCGGUGCGAUACCACCGGCAGAGGAAGCAGCGGCCGACGACGACGAUGGAUCUCAGGCUGAUGCCACGGCUGGUGCUGACGGAUUCCGGCCGGGUGGAGGAGCUAGAGCGGUUCUCCCACUAUGUUGCAAGGCAGAUGGGGUUUGAGGACAUGAACGAGUGCCCUCAGCUUUGCAAGUUGGCACGUGAUUACCUCAAGACAAAUAAGGGGUGUGAGGACAACAUAUUUGCCUUCUUUGCCAAUGAGCCAAACCCUGAAUCCCUCUAUGUGAAGCUUGUAGAAGAGCUGGACAAAUGCAUACUGGCCUAUUUUGCAUUCCACUGGAACCAUGCAACUCUUCUUGUUAGUCAGGUAUUGAGUGCUGACAGCCCCAAAAAGAAGCUCAAGAAUUUUGUUAUGGAGGCCACAAGGAAACUGAGGUUCGAGAGGGUGACAAAAGACCUGAAGGUGACAAGAGUGUUCUCUACACUGGUGGAGGAGAUGAAGGCCAUCGGAAUCGAAUCCCGCUGCACCGACGUCAUGGUUCCGGCGGCCCUCUCCGACCGCAGCCCGGUUCUGCUCCUGAUGGGUGGUGGGAUGGGAGCUGGCAAGAGCACCGUGCUCAAGGAUAUACUAAAGGAGGCUUUCUGGUCCGGAGCGGCGGCGAACGCUGUGGUGGUGGAAGCCGACGCGUUUAAAGAGACAGAUGUCAUUUACCGCGCCAUCAGCUCCAGAGGCCAUCACAACGACAUGUUGCAGACCGCUGAACUGGUCCACCAGUCAUCAACAGACGCGGCUUCCUCCCUCCUGGUGACCGCACUGAACGAAGGUCGAGACGUGAUCAUGGAUGGCACCCUCUCGUGGGAGCCAUUCGUGCAGCAAACCAUCGCCAUGGCACGGAACGUCCACCGGCAGCGCUACCGGAUGGGAGUCGGAUACAAAGUCGUCGACGACGGGACCAUCACGGAGAACUACUGGGAACCGGCAGAGGACGACGACGACGAAGACGAAGAAUACAAGUCCAAGGACAGGAAGCCUUACAGGAUUGAGCUGGUUGGAGUUGUCUGUGAUGCCUAUCUCGCAGUAGUUAGAGGGAUCAGGAGAGCUAUAAUAAUGGGGAGAGCAGUCAGGGUGAAGUCACAGUUGAAGUCCCACCACAUGUUCGCCAAUGCCUUCCCAAGAUACUGUCAGCUCGUCGACAAUGCCAGGCUCUACUCCACCAACACCAUGGGAUCGGCCAAGCUGAUAGGGUGGAAAGACGGAAGCAGCAGUCUGCUGGUAGAUCCCCGAGAGAUCAGCUGCCUGGAGAACGUGAAAGAGUUAAACGAGGAGGCCGAUUCCAUCUAUCAACUCUACCCUCGGUCCAACACCAGUUGUGGGUCUGCUUCGAUUUGGAAUGAGAUGGUGAUGUCGCCGACGAGAACACUGAUCCAGCAAGAACUGAAGGCGGCCGUCAAAGCGAUCGAGAGUCGUGGAUCAUGACUCACUCGAUCUGCAAUACUGGAUAUAGAUAUAUCGUAUGAGCAAAGCUUUCGGCUCACUCGUUAUAGCUCGAGGAUAACGUGAAACGAUGGAGGAAGAAGCUUCACACACACACACACACACACACACACACACACACACACACACACAUAUAUAUAUAUAUAUAUAUAUAUAUAUAUAUAUAUAUAUAUUAUAUUACUUCAAUUUUUCCUGUGACAAUAAUUUAGUCUUAUUUCGCACAAAUAUUUCAGUAUGAACAAUACUGAUUAGCCCAUUAGCCCAUUAGCCCAUUAGGCCAACCCAACUCCAAUGGGUCGGUCUUGGUUGGCUGUUGCCCGUUUAAAUCGACGGCCGAUAGGUUCGACUCGGUCGACUCAUUUCGAUCGCGCCAGCUGUUGCUAAGAGAACCCCGUCGCCUCGUCUCGCCGCAUCUUCUCGUCGCUCCGCCUUCUGGAGUAAUGGCAGAUAAAAGAGCUCAUAAAACGAGAUGGGAGAAUGAAAGCUCACUUCGGUGCACCAUUUGCACCUGAGUGAGAAUAUACUGGGAAGACUCCCUGUCAAAUCUCUCCCGAGGUUCAAGCUAGUCGGCAAAGCUUGUCAUGCCAUGAUCUCUGACCCUUAAUUCAUCCGUGCUUAUCUGCAUCGCACCAAGAACAACCCUAUGAUGAUCAUGAUACCCACUAGGUCAAUUGUUCCAUUAUGCCAUAAGCCCAAACUCCAACACGACAUCAGGUCAAAUGCUUACUGGGAGGUCAGCCCAGUGGCCAGCUUCAUGGUCCGAAUAAAGCUUCGUACACCAGCAGUAUACAUUGGUACGCUUCUUCACUGCGACGGGCUUCUCAUCAUCACCACUGAAUCUCAAACAUGUGUGUAAUUCCUCCACGAGAGAGCUUUAAGAGUUUGCUGAGACCCAGCAACAGUUGCUUGUUACAGGAAGACUUUUCUGACCACCUUGGGUUUGGAUUCGAUCCUCGUACAAGAAAGUAUGAGUUGGUUUGGUACGUGUUCCAUUGGUGCAAAGAGAGUGCCUGCAUUAUGUCGAUGGGUAUGGAGGUGCUCGUCUUAGGAAUGCCUGGUUGGAGGGUGGUGGAAGAGGACUUCACCUUAUCCUGUGACGUAUCACACUGCUUACUCUACUUACUUUGAUGGAGCCGUGUCCUGGAAGAUAUCCAAGUUGCUUCGGACCUCACAUCUGCAACACUUAUUUUUCUUCAAUCCAAGAGACGAGAAGUCCAGAGCAAUUCCUGUCCCCCCUGGUUAUCCCUCAUAUGCGGAUGAUAGAGUCAAUCUAACAGAGUUUAAGGGCCACUUAUGUUUCGUUUUUUCACAAUGAAUUUUGGUGCCAUGGAUAUAAGGAUGUCUAAGGAUGGGUUGAACCCAGCAUGGAUUCUGAACUCAGCCUUGCGUAGCCUCUUCUUGUUUGGAGAGUGGAAUGAUAAGUUCUUGUUGCAGGCACAGAUCCUAACGGCUACAACAAGAUGCAAGUGGCAAUAGCGGACAUCGACCGUAGAAAGGACUGUGAUUUCAAAACGACCAAUUAUGUUGAAAGUCACUAACUUUUGAUGUGGUUCUACUUGGAGAUGUAUUGGUUUGACGUCUCUUACCGCAGGAUGCUUAGCAGUCUCGGUGUUUAUUAAGAUGUUUUAUAUAAAAAUCGACAUUCAAAUUGUUAGGAUUUACAGUUUUUGUUGUUGUUGUUGUUGUUGUAUAUAAACUAUGUUUAGACAUAUAAAAUUCUAGCUUGCUUAAUCUAAAUGAUGUUCUAAAUUGGCUGCGGCACCAAA